rnacentral:misc_RNA from 2 species
AACGCACAUUGCGCCCGCCAGUAUUCUGGCGGGCAUGCCUGUUCGAGCGUCAUUUCAACCAUCAAGCCCCAGGCUUGUGUUGGAGCCCUGCGGCUGCCGCAGCCUCCUAAAAGCAGUGGCGGGCUCGCUAUCACACCGAGUGCAGUAGUUUACUCUUCGCUCAGGGCGUGUGGCGGGUUCCAGCCGUUAAACCCCCUACUUUUACAAGGUUGACCUCGGAUCAGGUAGGAAUACCCGCUGAACUUAA